AUUGAACGCUGGCGGCAGGCCUAACACAUGCAAGUCGAGCGAGCGGCGGACGGGUGAGUAAUGUCUGGGAAACUGCCUGAUGGAGGGGGAUAACUACUGGAAACGGUAGCUAAUACCGCAUACCAUCAGAUGUGCCCAGAUGGGAUUAGCUAGUAGGUGGGGUAACGGCUCACCUAGGCGACGAUCCCUAGCUGGUCUGAGAGGAUGACCAGCCCCACGUGAACUGGUACACGGUCCAGACUCCUACGGGAGGCAGCAGGGGGGAAUAGUGCACAAUGGGCGCAAGCCUGAUGCAGCCAUGCCGCGUGUAUGAAGAAGGCCUUCGGGUUGUAAAGUACUUUCAGCGGGGAGGCGUUACCCGCAGAAGAAGCACCGGCUAACUCCGUGCCAGCAGCCGCGGUAAUAC
rnacentral:rRNA from 1 species